AUUAGCUCAGUUGGUAGAGCAUCUGACUUUUAAUCAGAGGGUCGCUGGUUCGAAUCCUGCAUG
rnacentral:tRNA from 4 species